UACGUAGGGUGCGAGCGUUAAUCGGAAUUACUGGGCGUAAAGCGUGCGCAGGCGGUUGUGCAAGACAGAUGUGAAAUCCCCGGGCUUAACCUGGGAACUGCAUUUGUGACUGCACGGCUAGAGUGUGUCAGAGGGGGGGUAGAAUUCCACGUGUAGCAGUGAAAUGCGUAGAUAUGUGGAGGAAUACCGAUGGCGAAGGCAGCCCCCCUGGGAUAACACUGACGCUCAUGCACGAAAGCGUGGGGAGCAAACAGG
rnacentral:rRNA from 1 species